rnacentral:rRNA from 1 species
UGGGGAAUUUGGACAAUGGGCGAAAGCCUGAUCCAGCAAUGCCGCGUGUGUGAAGAAGGCCUUCGGGUUGUAAAGCACUUUUGUCCGGAAAGAAAUCCUUGGCUCUAAUACAGUCGGGGGAUGACGGUACCGGAAGAAUAAGCACCGGCUAACUACGUGCCAGCAGCCGCGGUAAUACGUAGGGUGCAAGCGUUAAUCGGAAUUACUGGGCGUAAAGCGUGCGCAGGCGGUUUGCUAAGACCGAUGUGAAAUCCCCGGGCUCAACCUGGGAACUGCAUUGGUGACUGGCAGGCUAGAGUAUGGCAGAGGGGGGUAGAAUUCCACGUGUAGCAGUGAAAUGCGUAGAGAUGUGGAGGAAUACCGAUGGCGAAGGCAGCCCCCUGGGCCAAUACUGACGCUCAUGCACGAAAGCGUGGGGAGCAAACAGGAUUAGAUACCCUGGUAGUCCACGCCCUAAACGAUGUCAACUAGUUGUUGGGGAUUCAUUUCCUUAGUAACGUAGCUAACGCGUGAAGUUGACCGCCUGGGGAGUACGGUCGCAAGAUUAAAACUCAAAGGAAUUGACGGGGUCAUAGCUG